rnacentral:rRNA from 1 species
AUUGAACGCUGGCGGCAUGCCUAACACAUGCAAGUAGAGCGGAGCGGCUGACGGGCGAGUAAUGCAUAGGAAUCUGCCUGGUAGCGGGGGAUAAGGUCCGGAAACGGGCGCUAAUCCCGCAUCCUAACAGAUGAGCCUAGGUAGGAUUAGGUAGUUGGUGGGGUAAAGGCCUACCAAGGCGACGAUCCGUAACAGGUCUGAGAGGAUGAUCAGUCACACUGGAACGGCAACACGGUCCAGACUCCUACGGGAGCCAGAAGUGGGGAAUAUUGUACAAUGGGCGAACGCCUGAUCCAGCCAUGCCGCGUGUGUGAAGAGGGUCUUCGGAUUGUAAAGUACUUUAAGUUGGGAGGCGGUACCAACAGAAUAAGCACCGGCUAACUUCGUGCCAGCAGCCGCGGUAAUAC